rnacentral:tRNA from 1 species
UGCACCCGACGAGACUCGAACUCGCCAACCUCAGAUCCGAAAUCUGAUACGCUAUCCAUUGCGCAACGAGUGC